CGCGGAGUGGAGCAGUUGGCAGCUCGUCGGGCUCAUAACCCGAAGGUCGUAGGUUCAAGUCCUGCCUCCCCACC
rnacentral:tRNA from 1 species